UGAGACUUGGAGAUCCAUUAAACACGCCAUGGUUCCGAGAACGGAUAUUAAUUGAGUUUAAGGUGAGCAACACUUCCCCACUAACCCCCAGCUACCAUCCCCAGAACACUGUCAUAGCCAACAGUUUGCCCUGCAGCCUGAGCGAGUGAGUGGAUCUCUAAUAGAUUGAUGGAUGGUCCAUGGGCUGAUGGAUGGAUGAUGUUCCCAGCUCGCACCUACCUGGCUCCGUCGGGAACUUCUUGGGCUUGGCCGUGCCGGAGAGCAGCAUGUCCAGGGAUCGGCGCUAGAGUGGCCCCGGGGCUCGGCUCACCCUCCGACCCCAAAGCAGACCGCGAUGGUCCCUGUCUCAGGCACCAGAAGAUCAGAAAUUUGAGAAAGGACAGUAGGAGCAUGAGACAAUCUCCGUCCAGAGGAGAUGACAUCACAUGGAACAGCCAUUGAGUACUAAAAUCCAACAUCCCACUUCCAUGACAGGACAGUGACGAGCAAAGAUCACAGGACCAUGACUAUCAAGGACCACAGCCCGAGUGAACUCUGAAAGUCCUACCGCUGGGAAUGUGCUGCUACUGCUGAGAUAUUCUAUAUUUUUGAUAAACUUAAUGUGAUUCAAACCCAACCACCUUCUUCAUCCUAUUUCCUUUUUGAAGUUCCAAGCAAAGCACCUUCCCCAGGAAAUAAGAUUGUCAAAGAGACCCACUGUCUGGUAUCUCUGUCAGUAAUGCCCAACAUUAUAACCAGCAUUACACAGUGUGGGAGAAUUAUAUAGAGUGACUGAGUUUGCUUAUUUCUCUCUCUCCCACUGGGGAAAUGUUUCAGUCCCACUUGGCACCUGCCUAUGGCAACACUGUGGAGAUCAGCAGCUCAGAGUGUGUGGAAUAAUCAGAAUGAACUCACACUGUGAAGCACUACAGCACAAUGUGGACCUGUAAUCUUUCACAGCUUUUAAAUUCUCUGUAUUUUCUGCAGCAUCUUGGGUGAUGGUCUCUUCUGUGAGUGGUGAAGUAAUAUAAUUGCCAUUUUAUAAGUAGAAUUAAACUUGUAUUUACAAAUAACACAGAGAAAAUCUUCCCCGUUGUUGGAAAUUGUAAGAUAUAAACUACCACUGUAUGAUAAUAUCAUAGACAAGUAUAAGAUAAUAGGUUCUUUACAUUGUUAUAUUAUUGAUGAGUAAAUCAUUAGAUUCAUUCAAAUUCUACCUCCUUAAUCAAUGUGUCCCUGGCCUACAUAUCCUUGGGAGUGUGUUAUGUCAACAAUGAAGGAAUUUCCAAAGAGGAAUAUAUUUAAAUUGGUUGAUCAAUUCUGCCCAGAGAGCACCUCAAUGCACAAGUCACUGUGGUACAUGAAUAAUUUCUUUGAUGUUGAGAUUUACAGAUCAUGAUGAUGUCUAUUGACAAAUGCUUCAAAUUUUUUCCUCUAUUUUCUCUACAAAUUUUUCACCAGUUUUCUUGUAAAUUCCCUCAUCUGAAAAUGUAUUAAGAAGCCAACAAAUCACUGAUAGUUUAUGGAAACAUAUUUUGCAUCCAAAAUAUUUAUGUUAGCUGGAGGUAUGACUGAAAGUUCCUUCAAAGAUCCCUACAUUCAGAAUACUCAAGAAACUACACAUCAUAUUUGAUUAUAAUAGAGCUAAAUAAUGCAGAUGCUGGAAAUAAGAAAUAAAAACAGAAAAUGCUGAAAGCUCUCAGAAGGUCAGCCAACAUCUGUAGAAAGAGAAACAGAGUUAACAUUUCAAGUCAACGUUCUCAUGAAAGGUCAUUGUUCUGAAAAGUUAACUGUUUUUAUCUUCACAGAUGUUGCCUGAAUUGCUGAGUAUUUCCAUCAUUUUUUGCUUUAAUUCUAAGGCUGGUCACUUUGUCUAUAUUAUAAAAGAAUAUAUUUCUUAAAUUAAAAAAAAAGCUUAAGCCAUAUUUUUGGCAUCCAAACUAAAAUAUCGUGCUUGAGUUAUUAUGGAAAGUUGGAGCAUCUCAAAAGAUUUGUUUAGCGAUUCCUAUUAUUCUUAUUCAAUAAUACAUCCGGACAUGCUUUUGGUAUCAGAUGUGCUGACAAAACAUUUUUUAAAAGGGAUAUAUUCACUGUAUAAUUUUAAGUUACAGAUCUAAUUAGGGCCAUGGUGUCCUCAUCAGAUUGCUGUUAAAUUCAUUACAAUCUUUAUCCUUUUUAUUUGGUAAGCUACCCGGCUGUGCAAUUGAUCUUCAGAGACUGCCCCUUUAAAAAUGAAGCUGGAUCUAGAGUAUUAGUCUUCACAGCUAUUUAUAGGCUCCUGGACACAGCUGUCAAUUGUCGAGUGACACGUCACACGCUUUUUCACUAAUCACUCGUCUGGUUAGUGAAAUGCCGUUUUCUUCCAUGGAAUAAAUGGAAAGAAAAGACAGCUGAUCCUGGUUAGAUAAAAUUGCAUUUUUCUCCAGCAUAACCAAACUGAAGAUGAAUUCGUCAGUGGUUCUGAAUUCAAUAAUUGUACCGUUCAGUACGUAUAUAAUAACAAAAUACACCAUGUAU